UGGGGAAUUUUGGACAAUGGGCGAAAGCCUGAUCCAGCAAUGCCGCGUGUGUGAAGAAGGCCUUCGGGUUGUAAAGCACUUUUGUCCGGAAAGAAAUCCUUGGCUCUAAUACAGUCGGGGGAUGACGGUACCGGAAGAAUAAGCACCGGCUAACUACGUGCCAGCAGCCGCGGUAAUACGUAGGGUGCAAGCGUUAAUCGGAAUUACUGGGCGUAAAGCGUGCGCAGGCGGUUUGCUAAGACCGAUGUGAAAUCCCCGGGCUCAACCUGGGAACUGCAUUGGUGACUGGCAGGCUAGAGUAUGGCAGAGGGGGGUAGAAUUCCACGUGUAGCAGUGAAAUGCGUAGAGAUGUGGAGGAAUACCGAUGGCGAAGGCAGCCCCCUGGGCCAAAUACUGACGCUCAUGCACGAAAGCGUGGGGAGCAAACAGGAUUAGAUACCCUGGUAGUCCACGCCCUAAACGAUGUCAACUAGUUGUUGGGGAUUCAUUUCCUAGUAACGUAGCUAACGCGUGAAGUUGACCGCCUGGGGAGUACGGUCGCAAGAUUAAAA
rnacentral:rRNA from 1 species